rnacentral:rRNA from 1 species
UCAAGCGAAUAAGCGCACACGGUGGAUGCCUAGGCGGUCAGAGGCGAUGAAGGACGUGGUAGCCUGCGAAAAGUGUCGGGGAGCUGGCAACAAGCUUUGAUCCGGCAAUAUCCGAAUGGGGAAACCCACUGCUUCGGCAGUAUCCUGCAGUGAAUUCAUAGCUGCUGGAAGCGAACCCGGUGAACUGAAAUAUCUAAGUAACCGGAGGAAAAGAAAUCAACCGAGAUUCCCUAAGUAGUGACGAGCGAACGGGGAACAGCCCUUAAGCUGGAAUGGCUUUAGAAAAACAAUCUGGAAAGAUUGGCCAUAGAAGGUGAUAGCCCUGUAUUUAAAAGGGCCACUCCAGUGAAGACGAGUAGGGCGGGGCACGUGAAACCCUGUCUGAAUAUGGGGGGACCAUCCUCCAAGGCUAAAUACUCCUGACCGACCGAUAGUGAACCAGUACCGUGAGGGAAAGGCGAAAAGAACCCCGGAGAGGGGAGUGAAAUAGAUCCUGAAACCGUGUGCGUACAAGCAGUAGGAGCUCGCAAGAGUGACUGCGUACCUUUUGUAUAAUGGGUCAGCGACUUACUGUUCGUGGCAAGCUUAACCGUAUAGGGGAGGCGAAGGGAAACCGAGUCUGAUAAGGGCGCAUAGUCGCGGGCAGUAGACCCGAAACCGGGUGAUCUAGUCAUGGCCAGGGUGAAGGUGCCGUAACAGGUACUGGAGGCCCGAACCCACGUCUGUUGCAAAAGACGGGGAUGAGCUGUGAUUAGGAGUGAAAAGCUAAUCGAACCCGGAGAUAGCUGGUUCUCCUCGAAAGCUAUUUAGGUAGCGCCUCGGACGAAUACUACUGGGGGUAGAGCACUGUUAUGGCUAGGGGGUCAUCGCGACUUACCAAACCAUUGCAAACUCCGAAUACCAGUACGUACUAUCCGGGAGACACACGGCGGGUGCUAACGUCCGUCGUGAAAAGGGAAACAACCCAGACCCACAGCUAAGGUCCCAAAUUCACUGCUAAGUGGAAAACGAUGUGGAAAGGCACAGACAGCCAGGAGGUUGGCUUAGAAGCAGCCACCCUUUAAAGAAAGCGUAAUAGCUCACUGGUCGAGUCGGUCUGCGCGGAAGAUUUAACGGGGCUAAGCAGUGAACCGAAGCUUGGGGUGCAUAAAACUUGUUUUAUGCGCGGUAGAGGAGCGUUCCGUAAGCCUGCGAAGGUGGAUUGAGAAGUCCGCUGGAGGUAUCGGAAGUGCGAAUGCUGACAUGAGUAACGAUAAUGCGGGUGAAAAGCCCGCACGCCGAAAGCCCAAGGUUUCCUUGCGCAACGUUAAUCGACGCAGGGUUAGUCGGUCCCUAAGGCGAGGGCGAAAGCCGUAGUCGAUGGGAAGCAGGUUAAUAUUCCUGCACCUCGCGUGAGUGCGAUGGAGGGACGGAGAAGGUUAGGUGUACCGGGCGUUGGUUGUCCCGGGGAAAGGCGGUAGGUUUGGAUCUUUGGCAAAUCCGGGAUCCUUUAAGACCGAGCACCGAGACGAGCCUUUAUGGCGAAGUCACUGAUACCACGCUUCCAGGAAAAGCUCCUAAGCUUCAGCUCACGAAGACCGUACCGUAAACCGACACAGGUGGGUAGGAUGAGAAUUCUCAGGCGCUUGAGAGAACUCGGGUGAAGGAACUAGGCAACAUGGCACCGUAACUUCGGGAGAAGGUGCACCCUUUUUGGUGGCUCAUGCGAGCUAUAGCUGAAGAGGGUCGCAGAAACCAGGCCGCUGCGACUGUUUAUCAAAAACACAGCACUCUGCAAACACGAAAGUGGACGUAUAGGGUGUGACGCCUGCCCGGUGCUGGAAGGUUAAUUGAUGGGGUCAGCCGCAAGGCGAAGCUCUUGAUCGAAGCCCCAGUAAACGGCGGCCGUAACUAUAACGGUCCUAAGGUAGCGAAAUUCCUUGUCGGGUAAGUUCCGACCUGCACGAAUGGCGUAACGACAGCGGCGCUGUCUCCACCCGAGACUCAGUGAAAUUGAAAUCGCUGUGAAGAUGCAGCGUUCCCGUGGCAAGACGGAAAGACCCCGUGAACCUUUACUAUAGCUUUACACUGAACGUUGAGUUCGUCUGUGUAGGAUAGGUGGGAGGCUAUGAAACUGUGGCGCUAGCUGCAGUGGAGCCAUCCUUGAAAUACCACCCUGUCGUGCUUGACGUUCUAACCUAGAUCCGUUAUCCGGAUCAGGGACCGUGUAUGGUGGGUAGUUUGACUGGGGCGGUCUCCUCCUAAAGAGUAACGGAGGAGCACGAAGGUACGCUCAGCGCGGUCGGACAUCGCGCACUGUGUGCAAAGGCAUAAGCGUGCUUGACUGCAAGAUCGACGGAUCAAGCAGGUACGAAAGUAGGUCUUAGUGAUCCGGUGGUUCUGUAUGGAAGGGCCAUCGCUCAACGGAUAAAAGGUACUCCGGGGAUAACAGGCUGAUACCGCCCAAGAGUUCAUAUCGACGGCGGUGUUUGGCACCUCGAUGUCGGCUCAUCACAUCCUGGGGCUGUAGUCGGUCCCAAGGGUAUGGCUGUUCGCCAUUUAAAGUGGUACGCGAGCUGGGUUCAGAACGUCGUGAGACAGUUCGGUCCCUAUCUGCCAUGGGCGUUGGAAGUUUGAGAGGGGCUGCUCCUAGUACGAGAGGACCGGAGUGGACGAACCUCUGGUGUUCCGGUUGUCACGCCAGUGGCAUUGCCGGGUAGCUAUGUUCGGAAGCGAUAACCGCUGAAAGCAUCUAAGCGGGAAGCGCGCCUCAAGAUGAGACUUCCCGGGGCACAAGCCCCCUAAAGGAACCAUAUAGACUAUGUGGUUGAUAGGUCAGGUGUGUAAGUACAGCAAUGUAUUGAGCUAACUGAUACUAAUGAUCCGUGCGGCUUGACCAU